CUAACCAGGCGGGUUGAUGGGCAAUGGUUCUGUCUAUUGCUGCAUUGCAGUCUGUUUCUUUAAAAAAGGUUUUCAUUUCAAAUCAUCACCCUCCUCAUAGAUUGUGAGAUCCAGAAAAUUACUCUUUUCAAAAUGACAAACUGAGGUGAAUUGGAAAUUAUAUUCAUUAUUAUUGAUAUAUUUUAUAAAUUUGUUCAGGCUGUCUUGGUCACCCUCCCAAAAAAUCAACACAUCAUCAAUGUAGCGCCGCCAUAGGACAAGAGUGCUUCCCAAUGGGACACAUAAAGGUUGACGAAGCUUGGAGCAAAUCUCA